AUAUUAUAUUUCCAAGCAUUUCUGUUCGACCAAACAAUUUGAUUAAUUUAAAAACCAAACAAAAAACUACAAAAUACUCGAACAUAUAAAAUCGUAAUACAAAUAAAGCUCAAUUCAUACUUUUACAGCACGGCACAACAUUCAAAAAUAUCGCCCAGUUCGCAUAUGACCGGUAACGAUACAGACACGCACUUUGCUACAAUAUUUUAAAC